rnacentral:lncRNA from 10 species
AACCAUGAGAUGUACAGCGACUUCCGGUUCCGCCCCCGUCUGGCAAGGGCCCGGAUUCUGGGUACAACCUGCCGGCGUGCGCUUGCGCCAGUUCUGCCGCGCACUGGGCCAGGGAGUGAUGAUUGCGUGGCUGACGGCUGGGCUGGUUAGUGUUUGCUGUUGCACGCUCUGGCGGUUCUCUCUGGAGUUGCUGCCUGAAAAGGCUCCCUUGUAAGACAGCCAAGAAAACAGGAAGAGGGUUGGAGGCAAAGUUCCGAAUAGGGAUGAGGCAUACGUGGUAAGGAUAUGUGCACGGCGUACCGCCAUUAGGGGGAGAGAGCACUGGGCUUGGAGUCAGCAGACUUGGGCUGACUUCGCUCCUGUCACUUCCUAACUGCGUGACCUCUCGCGGGGCAUGUAAGGGCUCCCAGCCUCGAAUGUUCCACCUGCCAAAUAAAUAUGAAAAUAAUGGAACACUCAGGGAUGCGAGGAUUUGCAUAAGAAAACAUGGAAAAUAACGUUGGGUUCAACAUAAUUUAACGCAGUUAUUUGAGCAGCUACUAGUAGCGGGCCUUGACCAAGGCAUAUUCUGACGUCCUUCCCCAUUCCCUCACCAUCACCACUCCUCCAAAAGUGGACUAGGUGCUUCUUCUGGGCUCCAACGAUACCCUAAGUAGCUUGCUUAACUGCCUUUACUACGUUACUUCCAAAACGUCCUAAUGUCAUUGUUAAAGUUUAAAUAGUAAAAAGAUGUCUUUAACUACAAAUGCACACACACACACACACACACGGCAUACAUGUAAAACUGGGGAUAUUUGAGUAAGAUCAGUGGAUUGUAUCAGUGUCAAUUUUCUGGUUGUGUUAUUGUACUAAAGUUUUUAAGGAUGUUACCAUUGGGAGAAACUGGGAAAAGGGUACAUGGGAUCUCUUUUGUAUUUAUUUCUUAUGAACUGCAUAUGAAUCUAUGAUUAUCUCAAAAGGUUUAAUUCAAAAUAUAAGAAAUAAUAUGGUCCCUGCUUGAAGGAGUUUUAUCUAAUAGGGGAGAAAGAUGUAUAAACAAGUAACGGCCACUUAAGUGAUAUUAACUAGUAAUUAAAAGUUCUGUGUGCCUGUGAGGGAGAUGAGGACAAAGUGGUGUGAAACCCAGGCAAAUGAAUGAUUCAGCCAGGGUCUGGGAUGGGUUAGAGACAUGUUCAUAGAGGGGUAAUAUUUGAGCUGAGGGUGAGUAUGGUGGAGCCCAGUAGACGUAAGUAGAGAAUGAGAGCUAGGUGUGGUGGCUCAUGCCUGUAAUCCCAGUACUUUGGAGACUGAGGUGGGAGGAUCGCUUGAGCUCAGGAGUUCGAGACCAGUCUGGGCAACAUGGCGAAGCCCUGUCUCUACCACAAAUACAAAAGUGAGCUGGGUGUGGUGGCGUGUGCCUGUAGUCCCAGCUACUCAGGAAGCUGAGGCAGGAGGAUCACUUGAGCGUGGGAGGUCGAGGCUGCAGUGAGCCAUGUUUGGGCCACUGCAUUGUAGCCUGUGUAACAAAGCAAGACCCUGUCUCAAAAAAAAAAAAAAAAAAGGAAAUAACAUGUGCAAAGGCUGGAGGUGUGUACAUUCACAGGGUGUUUAAGGAGCAGCAACAGGUUUAAGGACCUGCAGUGAAACUGGUCCUGUUCUAAGUUAAGGUGGGCUCAUUGAUGAGUUGAGGACUGUUGCUGGAGCAACCAGG